CGCUGGAGGCAGCGGUUCAUCGAUCAAUUCCUGUGAAUAUUUAUUUUUGUUUACAAAAGCAAGAAUCGAUCGAUAAACCUCUGCAUCCAGC
rnacentral:pre_miRNA from 14 species